UAGGGGAGCGUCGUGCAGCCAUGGAAGCGCCGGAGUGAUCCAGGUGUGGAGGCUGCACGAGUGAGAAUGCAGGCAUGAGUAGCGAAAGACGAGUGAGAAACUCGUCCGCCGAAUGACCAAGGGUUCCUGGGCCAGGUUAAUCCGCCCAGGGUGAGUCGGGACCUAAGGCGAGGCCGACAGGCGUAGUCGAUGGACAACGGGUUGAUAUUCCCGUACCCGUGUGAACGCGCCCCUGGUGAAUCAGUGAUGCUAAGCGCCCUGAAGCCGCCUUCGAACCUUCGGGUUCUCCGGUGUGUGGAUGCGCGUGAACCGAUCUGGUAGUAGCCAAGCGAUGGGGUGACGCAGGAAGGUAGCUGAGCCAGUCAGUGGUAAUACUGGGUAAGCGUGUAGGGCGUGACCUAGGCAAAUCCGGGUCACAUACAGCCUGAGACGUGAUGCGUAGCCGAUUGAGGCGAAUUCAGUGAUCCUAUGCUGCCGAGAAAAGCCUCUAGCGAGCUUUCACACGGCCCGUACCCCAAACCGACACAGGUGGUCAGGUAGAGAAUACUAAGGCGAUCGAGAUAACUGUGGUUAAGGAACUCGGCAAAAUGCCCCCGUAACUUCGGGAGAAGGGGGGCCUCGUCUGGUGACGGAACUUGCUUCCUGAGCUGGGUGGGGCCGCAGAGACCAGAGAGAAGCGACUGUUUACUAAAAACACAGGUCCGUGCGAAGUCGUAAGACGAUGUAUACGGACUGACGCCUGCCCGGUGCUGGAAGGUUAAGAGGACCGGUUAGCCAGUAAUGGCGAAGCUGAGAAUUUAAGCCCCAGUAAACGGCGGUGGUAACUAUAACCAUCCUAAGGUAGCGAAAUUCCUUGUCGGGUAAGUUCCGACCUGCACGAAUGGCGUAACGACUUCUCUGCUGUCUCAACCACAGACUCGGCGAAAUUGCAUUACGAGUAAAGAUGCUCGUUACGCGCGGCAGGACGAAAAGACCCCGGACCUUCACUAUAGCUUGGUAUUGGUGUUCGGUUCGGUUUGUGUAGGAUAGGUGGGAGACUGUGAAGCGGGCACGCCAGUGUUCGUGGAGUCGUUGUUGAAAUACCACUCUGAUCGUAUUGGACAUCUAACCUCGGACCAUGAUCUGGUUCAGGGACAGUGCCUGGUGGGUAGUUUAACUGGGGCGGUUGCCUCCCAAAAUGUAACGGAGGCGCCCAAAGGUUCCCUCAGCCUGGUUGGCAAUCAGGUGUCGAGUGCAAGUGCACAAGGGAGCUUGACUGUGAGACUGACAGGUCGAGCAGGGACGAAAGUCGGGACUAGUGAUCCGGCACCGGCAAGUGGAAGCGGUGUCGCUCAACGGAUAAAAGGUACCCCGGGGAUAACAGGCUGAUCUUCCCCAAGAGUCCAUAUCGACGGGAUGGUUUGGCACCUCGAUGUCGGCUCGUCGCAUCCUGGGGCUGGAGUAGGUCCCAAGGGUUGGGCUGUUCGCCCAUUAAAGCGGCACGCGAGCUGGGUUUAGAACGUCGUGAGACAGUUCGGUCUCUAUCCGCCGCGCGCGUUAGAAACUUGAGGAAGGCUGUCCCUAGUACGAGAGGACCGGGACGGACGAACCUCUGGUGUGCCAGUUGUUCCGCCAGGAGCACUGCUGGUUAGCUACGUUCGGAAGGGAUAACCGCUGAAAGCAUCUAAGCGGGAAGCCUGUUCCAAGAUGAGGUUUCUCACCCCCUCGAGGGGGUAAGGCCCCCGGCAGACCACCGGGUUGAUAGGCCAGAACUGGAAGCACAGUAAUGUGUGGAGGUGACUGGUACUAAUAGGCCGAGGACUUACCACAA
rnacentral:rRNA from 1 species